rnacentral:rRNA from 1 species
CCUACGGGAGGCAGCAGUGAGGAAUAUUGGUCAAUGGGCGCGAGCCUGAACCAGCCAAGUCGCGUGAGGGAAGACGGUCCUAUGGAUUGUAAACCUCUUUUGUCGGGGAGCAAAAGACGCCCCGCGUGGCGUUCCGAGAGUACCCGAAGAAAAAGCAUCGGCUAACUCCGUGCCAGCAGCCGCGGUAAUACGGAGGAUGCGAGCGUUAUCCGGAUUUAUUGGGUUUAACGGGAGCGUAGGCCGCAGGUCAAGCGUGCUGUGAAAUGUACGGGCUCAACCCGGGCCUUGCAGCGCGAACUGGCGUGCUUGAGUCCGCGGAAAGCAGUCUGAAUUCGUCGUGUAGCGGUGAAAUGCUUAGAUAUGCCGAAGAACCCCGAUUGCGAAGGCAGCUUGCUGCAGCGGAACUGACGCUGAUGCUCGAAAGCGCGGGUAUCGAACAGGAUUAGAUACCCUAGUAGUC